GCACUGCUGACGAGUUACAAAAUAGGACGAAACGGCCGUCCAGUGA
rnacentral:hammerhead_ribozyme from 1 species